rnacentral:tRNA from 1 species
GCCGAAGUAGCUCAACGGUAGAGCAACGGUAUCGUAAACCGUCGGUUAUGGGUUCAAUUCCCAUCUUCGGCUCAA